UACGAAGGGGGCGAGCGUUGUUCGGAUUUACUGGGCGUAAAGGGCGCGUAGGCGGCGGGUCAAGUCGAGUGUGAAAGCCCCGGGCUCAACCUGGGAAUUGCGCUCGAGACUGGGCUGCUUGAGUUCGGGAGAGGAGCGUGGAAUUCCCAGUGUAGAGGUGAAAUUCGUAGAUAUUGGGAAGAACACCGGUGGCGAAGGCGGCGCUCUGGACCGAGACUGACGCUGAGGCGCGAAAGCUAGGGGAGCAAACGGG
rnacentral:rRNA from 1 species